rnacentral:sRNA from 1 species
GCUGGGUAUGGUGGCGCAUGCCUAUAGUCCCAGCUACUCAGGAGGCUGAGGCAGGAGAAUCGCUUGAACCCAGGAGGUGGUGGUUGCAGUGAGCCCGUAUUGCACCACUGCACCCCAGCCUGGGUGACAGAGCAAGACUGUCUCAAAAACAAAAGAAACACUUAAGUACAGGAAGACUGAUCAGUGAUGCCUCAGAAAGACUUUUUGUGGAGCGGAGUCUCACUCUGUCGCCCAGGCUGGAGUGCAGUGGUGCAAUCUCGGCUCACUGCAACCUCCACCUCCCAGGUUCAAGUGAUUCUUCUGCCUCA